CAACGCCGCGUGAGCGAUGAAGGCCUUCGGGUCGUAAAGCUCUGUUGUUAGGGAAGAACAAGUACCGGAGUAACUGCCGGUACCUUGACGGCACCUAACCAGAAAGCCACGGCUAACUACGUGCCAGCAGCCGCGGUAAUACGUAGGUGGCAAGCGUUGUCCGGAAUUAUUGGGCGUAAAGCGCGCGCAGGCGGUCCUUUAAGUCUGAUGUGAAAGCCCACGGCUCAACCGUGGAGGGUCAUUGGAAACUGGGGGACUUGAGUACAGAAGAGGAAAGUGGAAUUCCACGUGUAGCGGUGAAAUGCGUAGAGAUGUGGAGGAACACCAGUGGCGAAGGCGACUUUCUGGUCUGUAACUGACGCUGAGGCGCGAAAGCGUGGGGAGCAAACAGGAUUAGAUACCCUGGUAGUCCACGCCGUAAACGAUGAGUGCUAAGUGUUAGAGGGUUUCCGCCCUUUAGUGCUGCAGCAAACGCAUUAAGCACUCCGCCUGGGGAGUACGGUCGCAAGACUG
rnacentral:rRNA from 1 species